GAUCCUGGCUUAGGAUGAACGCUGGCGGCGUGCCUAACACAUGCAAGUCGAGCGAUCUCUUCGGAGAAGAGCGGCGGACGGGUGAGUAACGCGUGGGUAACCUGCCUCAUACACAUGGAUAACAUACCGAAAGGUAUGCUAAUACAGGAUAAUAUAAGAGAUUCACAUGGAUUUCUUAUCAAAGCUCCGGCGGUAUGAGAUGGACCCGCGUCUGAUUAGCUAGUUGGUAAGGUAACGGCUUACCAAGGCGACGAUCAGUAGCCGACCUGAGAGGGUGAUCGGCCACAUUGGAACUGAGACACGGUCCAAACUCCUACGGGAGGCAGCAGUGGGGAAUAUUGCACAAUGGGCGAAAGCCUGAUGCAGCAACGCCGCGUGAGUGAUGAAGGCCUUCGGGUACGUAAAACUCUGUCCUCAAGGAAGAUAAUGACGGUACUUGAGGAGGAACGCCCGGCUAACUACGUGCCAGCCGCCGC
rnacentral:rRNA from 1 species